GUGAGGAAUUUUCCGCAAUGGGCGAAAGCCUGACGGAGCAAUGCCGCGUGAAGGAUGAAGGCCUAUGGGUUGUAAACUUCUUUUCUCAGAAAAGAAUUAUGACGGUAUCUGAGGAAUAAGCAUCGGCUAACUCUGUGCCAGCAGCCGCGGUAAGACAGAGGAUGCAAGCGUUAUCCGGAAUGAUUGGGCGUAAAGCGUCUGUAGGUUGUUUAAAAAGUAUUAUGUCAAAGAUUAGGGCUUAACCCUAGAUAGGCAGAAUAAACUUUUAAGCUAGAGUUUGGUAGAGGCAGAGGGAAUUCCCGGUGGAGCGGUGAAAUGCGUAGAUAUCGGGAGGAACACCAAAGGCGAAGGCACUCUGCUGGGCCAAUACUAACACUGAGAGACGAAAGCGAGGGGAGCAAAUGGGAUUAGAAACCCGAGUAGUCC
rnacentral:rRNA from 1 species